UACAGAGGGUGCAAGCGUUGUUCGGAAUUAUUGGGCGUAAAGCGCGUGUAGGCGGGAUGGUGUGUCGGGUGUGAAAGCCCUCAGCUCAACUGAGGAAGUGCGCCCGAAACUGCCGUUCUUGAGUGUCGGAGAGGGUGACGGAAUUCCCGGUGUAGAGGUGAAAUUCGUAGAUAUCGGGAGGAACACCAGUGGCGAAGGCGGCUACCUGGCCCACUCUUGACGCUGAGGUGCGAAAGCGUGGGGAGCAAACAGGGAUUAGAA
rnacentral:rRNA from 1 species